rnacentral:rRNA from 1 species
CAGCAGCCGCGGUAAUACGUAGGGUGCGAGCGUUAAUCGGAAUUACUGGGCGUAAAGCGUGCGCAGGCGGUUCGUUAAGACAGAUGUGAAAUCCCUGGGCUUAACCUGGGGACUGCGCUUAGUACAGGCAGUCUAGAGUGAGGAAGAGGGUUGUGGAAUUCCGAGUGCAGAGGUGAAAUUCGUAGAUAUUGGGAAGAACACCGGUGGCGAAGGCGGCGACCUGGUCCUCGACUGACGCUGAGGCGCGAAAGCGUGGGGAGCAAACAGGAUUAGAUACCCGUGUAGUCCCUGUCUCUUAUAC